rnacentral:rRNA from 1 species
UGAGGAACAUGACCUUCGGCGGGGAUAGCCGGCCCAACGGCCGGGUAAUACCGCGUACGACCACAUGGGGACAUCCCUGAGUGGUGAAAGCAGCAAUGCGCCGAUGGAGUGCCUCGCGGCCUAUCAGCUAGUUGGUGAGGUAACGGCUCACCAAGGCAACGACGGGUAGCUGGUCUGAGAGGAUGGCCAGCCACAUUGGGACUGAGACACGGCCCAGACCUNUACCGGGAG